AUUGAACGCUGGCGGCAUGCCUUACACAUGCAAGUCGAACGGCAGCGCGGGGCAACCUGGCGGCGAGUGGCGAACGGGUGAGUAACAUAUCGGAACAUACCCUAGAGUGGGGGAUAACGUAGCGAAAGUUACGCUAAUACCGCAUACGCACUAAGGUGGAAAGUGGGGGAUCUUCGGACCUCAUGCUCAUGGAGUGGCCGAUAUCUGAUUAGCUAGUUGGUGAGGUAAAGGCUCACCAAGGCGACGAUCAGUAGCUGGUUUGAGAGAACGACCAGCCACACUGGAACUGAGACACGGUCCAGACUCCUACGGGAGGCAGCAGUGGGGAAUUUUGGACAAUGGGGGGCGAACCCUGAUCCAGCAAUGCCGCGUGAGUGAAGAAGGCCU
rnacentral:rRNA from 1 species